rnacentral:rRNA from 1 species
UGAGUACGAGCGGCUACGGCCGCGAAGUGGAUGAUGUCAAGCUUCCAAGAAAAGCCCUAUACCCGUUAAGGCAUGAUGGCCUGUACCCGAAACCGACACAGGUGGGGUGGUAGAGAAUACCGAGGGGCGCGAGGUAACUCUCUAAGGAACUCGGCAAAAUGGCCCCGUAACUUCGGGAGAAGGGGUGCCACCGCGAGGUGGUCGCAGUGAAGAGGCCCAGGCGACUGUUUACCAAAAACACAGGUCUCCGCUAAGUCGCAAGACGAUGUAUGGGGGCUGACGCCUGCCCAGUGCCGGAAGGUUAAGGAAGCUGGUCAGCGCAAGCGAAGCUGGCGACUGAAGCCCCGGUGAACGGCGGCCGUAACAAUAACGGUCCUAAGGUAGCGAAAUUCCUUGUCGGGUAAGUUCCGACCCGCACGAAAGGCGUAACGAUCUGGGCGCUGUCUCGGAGAGAGGCUCGGCGAAAUAGAAUUGUCUGUGAAGAUGCGGACUACGUGCACCCGGACAGAAAGACCCUAUGAAGCUUUACUGUAGCUUGGUAUUGUGCUCGGGCUCGGAAUGCGCAGGAUAGGUGGGAGGCUUUGAUCCAUUGCUUGCGGGUGAUGGUGAGCCACUGGUGAGAUACCACUCUUUCCGAGCUAGAGUUCUAACAGCAACCCGUUAUCCGGGUGCUGGACAGUAUCAGGUGGGCAGUUUGACUGGGGCGGUCGCCUCCUAAAAGGUAACGGAGGCGCGCAAAGGUCUGCUCAGGCUGGUUGGAAAUCAGCCGACGAGUGUAAAAGCAGAAGCAGGCUUGACUGUGAGACCUACAAGUCGAACAGGGAGGAAACUCGGCUUUAGUGAUCCGACGGUUCUGCGUGGAAGGGCCGUCGCUCAACGGAUAAAAGUUACUCUAGGAUAACAGGCUGAUCUCCCCCAAGAGUUCACAUCGACGGGGAGGUUUGGCACCUCGAUGUCGGCUCAUCGCAACCUGGGGCUGAAGUCGGUCCCAAGGGUUGGGCUGUUCGCCCAUUAAAGCGGUACGCGAGCUGGGUUCAGAACGUCGUGAGACAGUUCGGUCCAUAUCCGGUGCACGCGCAGGAAUAUUGAGAGGAUUUCUCCCUAGUACGAGAGGACCGGGAGGAACGCACCUCUGGUGUGCCAGUUAUCGUGCCAACGGUAAACGCUGGGUAGCCAUGUGCGGAGUGGAUAACCGCUGAAAGCAUCUAAGUGGGAAGCCCACCUCAAGAUGAGUAUUCCCAUGGCAUAAGCCAGUAAGGUCACGGGAAGAACACCCGUUGAUAGGCUCUACGUGGAAGCGCAGUAAUGUGUGAAGCGGAGGAGUACUAAUAGACC